UAGCUAUUCAGGAGGCUGAGGCACAAGAAUUGCUUGAGUCAAUAUUGCACCACUGCACUCCAGCCUGGGCAACAGCGAGACUCUUGUCUCAAAAAAAAAAAAAGAUAUUUGCUGAAAAGACCCAGCCUGCCAAACUCAGGGGCAGCCAAGGGAGGUAGUGAAAUGGAAGUUGGAGCUCAGCGCUCCCUCACCUCCACUGCCCUCAGGCCUUCUCUGCCUCUUUCCCAUCAGUCAGCUGCUUCUGGGCAUGGUCCUGGCAGAGACUUGGCCUCCUUCCAGUUCAAGCUCCCUCUUAGAUUGUGUCCCACGCCACUGAGUCUCUGGGACACUGGGUCAGUUGUCUAGUCUGGCACAAUUGGCAGGAAUCCCAAGAAACAGUGUGAGUGAGGGGACAGUCGUGUUGAGUGCCCUCCAUCUGGGACUGGGAGGCAGGUCUAUGUCAGGCCUGCAUUUAGAUCUCUAAUAGCUCCAGACAAGCCCCUUCAGCUCACUAAGCCUGUUUCCUAACACAGCUGUGGGAUGGUGCUUUGGUUUACAUAGCACGCGAUACCAUCAUAGAUCACAUGGGGAAACUGAGGCCCCAGGAGUGAUCUGCUGGCACAUGCAGUGACAAGAGGAGAGGCCCAUCUCAGCCUUGCAGCAAGGUUGCCAGAAAUCGAUUCUCGCCCCCAUCCCGUAAAGCCUCUCUGCAUCACCUGCUUCCCACAGCAGCAGCCUGGGCCUCCAAAGGGCACAUUCAGAUUUGAGGGAUUUGGGGAGUUUGUGGGCAAGGGCAGACUACUAUGGGCUUUUGGGUGAACCCCAAGGGAAUGCAAAGAAGCCCCCUGCCAUUCUCCAUGAAUGGAGCUGAAUGCCCUAGCCCCCCAUUCUUCCACGUGGGAGUAUCCUCUUGAGAGUCCUGCUGGCUGUUGGUCAAG
rnacentral:lncRNA from 1 species